rnacentral:rRNA from 1 species
CCUAGGGGUGGCAGCAGUGGGGGAUAUUGCACAAUGGGGGAAACCCUGAUGCAGCGACGCCGCGUGUAGGAAGACGGUCCUCUGGAUUGUAAACUACUGUCCCCAGGGACGAAGAUGACGGUACCUGGGGAGGAAGCUCCGGCUAAGUACGUGCAAGCAGCCGCGGUAAUACGUAGGGAGCGAGCGUUGUCCGGAAUUACUGGGUGAAAAGGGAGCGUAGGCGGGGAUGCAAGUUGGGUGUUAAAUCUACCGGCUCAACUGGUAGUCGCACUCAAAACUGCAGCUCUUGGGUGAAGUAGAGGCAGGCGGAAUUCCUAGUGUAGCGGGGAACUGCGUAUAUAUUAGGAGGAACACCAGUGGCGAAGGCGGCCUGCUGGGCUUUUACUGACGCUGAGGCUCGAAGGUGUGGGGAGCAAACCGGCUUGGCUACCCGGUAGUC